GUUUUCGUGGCCUAGUGGUUAGGGCGUCUGUCUUACAAGAGGGUCUCCGGACCUGUUUGAUCACAGAAGAUCCCCGGUUCAAUCCCGGGCGGAAACA